AAAUUUUCCUAAUCUCAUCUUAUUUUCUUAACCAAUGAUAACUCUCUCAUGGGCCAUUAUUCAUUUCCUCUUUCCUUUUUAUAAUUUUACCAUAUGUGUUCUUCGUAAAAAUAUUCCUCUUUUUGAAUAAGAGAGAUAAUCCAUUGUUCUACAGCAGCACAUCACCACCGGAUGUUAUUGAAUCAGAAAACGCAAUUGGAAUCGCCAAAUUCGAUGAAAAAGCAUCCAGAUUAGGUGAAGCAGCGCGGAAAUCAGUGGGUAGUGGUUGUGUUUCGGAUAGCAGGAGAGGGCGAUCGGUUACAAGGCAUUUUGAUCAUGGGAAUCAGUCUUUGGCUACUCAAGGGAUAGUGGGUCGAAGUUUUUCAAGGGUGGACACGGAAAGACGCAGGCGAUCUGUGUCAAGAGGCGAUUUUGGGAAUCUGAGAGUGAAGUUGAAAAAGAAAUUAGUUUGUCUUCAGGUCUCAGAAAUAAGAAUAAUGUGAAAAUAGCUCCCAGCUUGGAGAAAAAAGCUAUUGUAACCACAUGUGCUUCUGAAUUAUCAGACCAGACGAGGAAUUUGGAAAGGUUUAAAAGACUAAAACGUAGCCAAACUUCUGUCCUUAUCACUGAUUGAGAGAGCCAAGGAGUUGAUGGUUUCAAUUACAAUGGAGAGUUUUUUUUUUCUUCAUCUUACGCUAUGUAAGUGAUAUCAUGCGGUCUACCAAAGUGUUUCCAAG